UACGUAGGGAGCAAGCGUUGUUCGGAUUUACUGGGCGUAAAGGGCGCGUAGGCGGCAAAUUAAGUCAGCUGUGAAAUCUCCGAGCUUAACUCGGAACGGUCAGCUGAUACUGAUCUGCUAGAGUGCGGAAGGGGCAAUCGGAAUUCUUGGUGUAGCGGUGAAAUGCGUAGAUAUCAAGAGGAACACCUGAGGUGAAGACGGGUUGCUGGGCCGACGCUGACGCUGAGUGCGCGAAAGCCAGGGGAGCAAACGGG
rnacentral:rRNA from 1 species